rnacentral:rRNA from 1 species
CCUACGGGUGGCAGCAGUGGGGAAUAUUGGACAAUGGGCGAAAGCCUGAUCCAGCCAUGCCGCGUGUGUGAAGAAGGCCUUCGGGUUGUAAAGCACUUUCAGUGGGGAAGAAAGCCUUGGGGCUAAUACCCUCGAGGAAGGACAUCACCCACAGAAGAAGCACCGGCUAACUCCGUGCCAGCAGCCGCGGUAAUACGGAGGGUGCGAGCGUUAAUCGGAAUUACUGGGCGUAAAGCGCGCGUAGGCGGUCUGAUAAGCCGGUUGUGAAAGCCCCGGGCUCAACCUGGGAACGGCAUCCGGAACUGUCAGGCUAGAGUGCAGGAGAGGAAGGUAGAAUUCCCGGUGUAGCGGUGAAAUGCGUAGAGAUCGGGAGGAAUACCAGUGGCGAAGGCGGCCUUCUGGACUGUCACUGACGCUGAGGUGCGAAAGCGUGGGUAGCAAACAGGAUUAGAUACCCUUGUAGUC